GUCUACAGCCAUGCCACCCUGAACAAGCCCGAACCCGUCUGAUCUCAGAAGCUAAUCAGGGUCAGGCCUGGUUAGUACUUGGAUGGGAGACCACCUAGGAAGACCAGGUGUUGUAGACA
rnacentral:rRNA from 1 species